rnacentral:rRNA from 1 species
AGAGUUUGAUCCUGGCUCAGAACGAACGCUGGCGGCAUGCCUAACACAUGCAAGUCGAACGCCUGUAGCAAUACAGGAGUGGCGGACGGGUGAGUAACACGUGGGAAUCUACCCAGUAGCCUGGAAUAACCGCGGGAAACUGCGGCUAAUACCGGAUACGCCCCGAGGGGGAAAGGAGCAAUCCACUAUUGGAGGAGCCCGCGCCCGAUUAGCUAGUUGGUGAGGUAAUGGCUCACCAAGGCGAUGAUCGGUAGCUGGUCUGAGAGGACGACCAGCCACACUGGGACUGAGACACGGCCCAGACUCCUACGGGAGGCAGCAGUGGGGAAUAUUGGACAAUGGGGGAAACCCUGAUCCAGCAAUGCCGCGUGGGUGAUGAAGGCCUUCGGGUUGUAAAGCCCUUUUGGCGGGGACGAUGAUGACGGUACCCGCAGAAGAAGCCCCGGCUAACUUCGUGCCAGCAGCCGCGGUAAUACGAAGGGGGCUAGCGUUGUUCGGAAUUACUGGGCGUAAAGGGCGCGUAGGCGGCCUCGUCCGUCCGGCGUGAAAUGCCUGGGCUCAACCCAGGAAUUGCGCUCGAUACAGCGAGGCUAGAGUGUGGGAGAGGAUGGUGGAAUUCCCAGUGUAGAGGUGAAAUUCGUAGAUAUUGGGAAGAACACCGGUGGCGAAGGCGGCCAUCUGGACCACAACUGACGCUGAGGCGCGAAAGCGUGGGGAGCAAACAGGAUUAGAUACCCCCGUAGUCC